GGCGCCGUGGCUUAGUUGGUUAAAGCACCUGUUUCGUGAACAGGCCAUCCUGAGUUCGACUCUCAGCAGCGCCU